rnacentral:rRNA from 1 species
AAGGCUGACCCGAGGACCUUGCAAGGCGCUGGAUCUCGGCGGCGGCAAAUCUCCUGGUGCUGCGGCUGGUGAUGAUGGAGGGGCCGCAAAUCCCCUGUUGCGGCGGCUGGUGACGAGGGAGGAGGGAGGAGGGAGAUGGUGCGACAGUGUGGCGAGGGAGUGAGGAGGGAGGGGUCAGGGGUGUGGCGGCUGGGCACUGGGGGGCUACGGUUCAC